UCCAUUAUUUUACAGGUUUUGUUUUAGUAAAAUAAUAACUGACCUCGAAGGCAAGGCCAGUCUAAGCCAAACAGAACCCUACAGCCUCACAAAAAGAAAAUAGAAAAAUUUUAAAUAAUUUACAGAGGAUUCACCCAUCCGUGCAGUAGAUUAAAAAGGAUCAAACAACACAAAAACAAAAAAACAAAACAAAGCGAAAGUAGAGAGAAAACAAAGAAGGAAGGUGACCACUAUAUCUACUUCAGGUUCUUACCAGAACCAAAGACAGCCAUCCCCAAGAGUCCUCACACGCAAAAACCCACAUGCUUUUAGACAAAGACAAAUAACCAAAGUACAAAUCUUUUCAAUCUUGAAACUCAGAGAGAAAAAAGAAACCAUACAUACAAAAUCUUCGUGUAGAUAGAGCCUCUACAAAAAAGGCAGAAAUCUUGCAAUCUUCAAAGAGAAACAAAAGAGGGGUGUUCUUUUUUUUUUGGGGGUUUGGAAAAUGAAGUUAUCGGCAAAACCCAUAUCGAGUCCGGGUCGGGCUGAGAAGUAUCCGCCACCAUUGAUGCGGUUUUUGAGAAGCAAUGUUGGGAGCAGAAGCAGGGGAAGGUCACGUUCAAGCCCAAUGUUUGUUAGAAAAAAGAACACUGCCAUUGAAACCCAAGAGCCCACUUCGCCUAAAGUCACUUGCAUGGGUCAGGUUCGUGUCAAACGCUCCAAACAAGCUGGUACAAAACCCGGUCGACACGGAGCCCCGACUCGUCGCCGCAGCCGCUGUAAUUGGAUCAGAAAUGCUCUGUUUUGCCGUCAUUUCGCUGGGAAAGUCAAGGCCAAGCCCUCUUGUAGACCCACUUGGAAGAAAUGGGGGGCGUUUUUCCAAAUGGGGUCUUGUAGAAAACCCAAAACUAGAGAAGAUUCAUCGAAAUUUGGGAACAAAAUUGAAGAUUUUGUGGAAGGAAAUGAAGAAGAAGAAGAAGAAAGUGAAAAAAAUGAAAAGGAAGCUAAGAUUUUUGUAUCUUCUUCCUCUUCAUCACCACCCAAAAAUGCUUUGAUUUUAACACGUUGUCGAUCUGCUCCAUACAGAUCUUCUUCUUUAGCUUGUAGGUUUUGGGAGUCGCCUUUAGCUAACCAGGAGACAAACGAAGAAGAAACAGAGGAAACAGAAGAAGAAAAAAGAGAAAACAGAGGAUUUCAAAAAGAAGAAGCAGAGGUUCCCACAUCCGAGAAAGUGUCCAUUUACAGAAAUUCGGAUCACGGGUCCCAAAUGGAUUCGGAAAAACUAGAGAAGUCGGGUUUUUGCAAGGAAUUUGAAGAGGGCAAAACAGAAAAACCUGAAAACAAUGAAGAGUUGAAAACAGAGCAGUUUGGGAAUGUACGGCCUUUAAUCCUCACGAGAUGUAAAUCCGAACCGGCUAGAACAGCUGAAAGACUCGAUCCAGAGAUGAGUUUCUGGAAGAAGAGAAGGUUGGGUUUCACGUGAUUCAUUUAAUUUUCUUCUUCUUUUAAUUAAUUUAUGAAUAUUAUUGGUUAUGUUAGGAAGAAGCACUACUUUUUUCUUUCUUACUUAAAUGACUUUGUUGUAUUCAACAUCUAGGGCCGUUAGAGAGAAUCUCUAUGGCUCUUCGGCAACAUUAAAAAAACAAAAAAAAGAAGGGCUUAGUUAAUAGUACACUGGAAAUUGAAAACAAUGAUAAAAUUUAUUUGUGUUAAUUUUUUUCCUGAAACUUCCUCAUGGGCUGCUGUCUUUAGUGGUGUUGGCAAAUCUUUCUUUUUUCUCUUUGUUUUGAUAGGCAGAAGUGUUCUCUGCUUCUGGUUCCAGCCAGGGCUUUUCUGGGGGGUUUUAUGGUAGUUUGAUUAGUUUUAUGCAUCUUUGGAUACUCUGACCAGCUUUUAUAUUUUGGUAGAAUAGCUUAUGCAGUAUUCUGGCCCCGCAGUUUCAUUAUUUUAUGUAAUUCUUUAUGACUUUUUCAGCAACAGGAAGAAAGUUUCAAUUGAAUGUCUCCAUCCCUUGUCAAUUUUUAGUUAAGGAUUUUUUAUAUUAUGGCUCUGUUAAGAUCUGUUACUUGAUUGGAAAGCUUAGUCAAGAGGAUUAUUGAUCAAUGUUUUUUUGUGAGAAAGCUACAUGGGCAAUUGGCAAGUUGUUUGCCGUACUAAUUGAAGCAAAAUGGGUUCAUUCAUUCGUUUCACAUUUGGAUAAGAAACUUGGGGAUGGAAAAUUUUCUAAUUCUGCAAAAGAAUAAUUGGAAAAACUGUUUGGUUGUAUCCAAAGUGGAAAAGAUUGGUUAUGAUGGCACUGAAUCCUGAUUUGAGACCAAGGUUUGGACAUAUGUAUCACACACAACAAACUGUCUAAACAAAAAGAUAAAGAAAAAAUGGAGAGGGAAAGCCUGGAUCCCUCCCUCCUUUGCCAUUUAUUCCAGUUUGUCACAUCUCAGGCUUUUAAGGGCUUCAGAUGGAGCUAGGGAAGGCUUCAGUUAAAGUUUAGGCUGUCAUUUGUUGAGUUUUCAGCUCAGGUUUAUAGCUACGAAGUAUAGUAAAUUAGUAAUAAAACUUCAUCAGUACAAGGCAAAGCCCCGGACCUUUACGAACGUCUCUUCAGAUACUGCCAUGGAUGGAAGAAAAAAUCCAAGACAUUGAUCUACGUGAACCAUGAUUAUUUACUUCUAAAUAGUGAUUAGUGAUAGAAUAUACCCGAAAUUUGGUAUGAAACCUAACAAAAUCUUCAUCGUCCCUUAGUUUGUGCCUACCAUGAUUGUAUAUACCAACUUCAAGCCAAAUGUCAGGCUAUCAGGGAAAAUUAUUGCCCCAAAUUCCUGACUCAAGGCCAGGUUUUGAACACCCUCACAUGCAGAGUUGAGAAUCAAGUUAUGAUCCAACGUUGCAGUAUCCUGCCCUAAGAUUUUGUUUGGUACCUAAGGUCAACCACUACAUUGCAAAAGAUCAAACUGGAGUCAGUCCAGCAGUUGUUUUCCUGUUUAUGUAGAGCAAAAAUCUUAUGUUUGGAUACAGUUUUUCUGCUCAAAUGAAUCCCAAAAAGCAUGCUUAAGGUCAACCACUAGAUUGAAAAAGAGCUGUGUAUAGCAGAACAGUAUGGCUUUGGUUUGGAUACAUAUUUCAUGCUCAAAUAAACGCCAAAAAGCAUUGGGGAAAGCAACAGUAUCCACUGCCGUUGGUUCACAGAAAGAAAGCUUUUUCUAGUUUGCAGCUAAAGUACAAGGUUAUGAUACAGAGAUCAAAGCAAAGCCCAAAAAGAUGAGUGUUACAAAUCAAUCAAUUCAAUGGACUGCCAUGGCUAUAAUAACUUUCUUUUUGUCCAAGAUGCAAUGAUCCUUUAUACCAAUAUGAUAAUAAGUUUGUAAGAAGACAUACAAGGUCAGAUGUAGAUUUGCCAAGGCAGGUUGAGAUGAAGGGUUCAAGUUGCCGUCCUGCUGUCUCAAAGGACUGGGGUUGGGAUCCAACAACUUUAAAGCGUGCAGGUAAGGGCAUCUUAGUAUCAUGCAUUUGCCUUGGAAAUCAUACCCACUCCUAUCCAGAGAUGGCAUAGCUGUUUGACGAUGGAGCCAACCAGAUUACACCAGACACUCGUUCAAGGAAAUCAUAUAGGCAUGUAAUCUUGAAGAGACAACAAACAGGGACCACUGACAAGCAUCCACUCGUUUCCCUUUGAACUGCCAAUUCGAAAUCUAAAAUUAUCUCAAACUCUCAACCAGCUUUUCACAAUGUGUUGAAACUAAUAGCAUAUUCCACUAUUCAAUAAACCUACUAAAUUAAGAGAGAUUGCAUACAUAUAUUCUAAACAAAUUACUGAUUAUUUUUUAUGCAUUAUAAUUUUAUUUUACUUGAAGAGUAUGGGAGUUUAAAGCACUUGGUUUUUGGUGCUUGUUUUGUUGACUAAGAGCAUGUAGGGAUCAUGCUUCAUCUCCUCCUUAUCCUUGCCUGAUUGUCAGCUUCCCUUCAAGUAAAUGCCAUUUGUGCUUGCAAUGUUAAUUAUUUUUAUAUAUAAAAAAAACAGUCUGUACAAUUAUAA
rnacentral:lncRNA from 1 species